AUCUGAUUGUUAGCUAUCAUAUUACUAGUAAUUACAUACCAAUUCUAGGCUUAUGGGGAAAUUAAUCCAGAAAUAAAGGGGAGCAAUCCUAUUUUAGCAAAAUAUAGCCAAUGCCUAGAAUAAACCAGGUAAUCCUCUUUUGUUAGAGCUUCAGCACACAAAGAAGAAUCGAGGCAGAUUUAAGAGUGUUUAAACACAUUCAAGCAACCUUUUCCUUGACCAAAUACUUCUGGUAAAGUUGAGAAUAUUAAUAGUGUCAAACUUAUUCAUUUUUUAUUAAAAA